CAAAAAUGGCGGACCAAAAGAAAGUAACAUAAUUAUAAAUAAAAUUAAUAAUGUAUUUAGCUUCUGCUAUCACGACCACGGUCGAAGAAUAAUUACACAACAACAAAAUGGCUGCUGGAACAGCCGUUAAAGCAUUUUUCACCUUUAUUUUCGACACAGUACACUGCGCCGGUAUCAGUGGCAGGGACAAUGGAUUUGGUAACAAUUACGUUUGGGCUGGAUCUUUAGAAUCGGGUCUCCAGAUAGCCACACACCACAGAAAACCAGUAAUGGUGAUCAUCCACAAAUCGUGGUGCACAGCCUGUAGAAAUUUGAAGCCGAAAUUCGCCAACUCUCCAGAAAUACAAACGUUAAGCAAACACUUUGUCAUGGUCAAUUUGCUUGAUGAAGAGGAACCGAAAAAUAAUGUAUUUGCUCCAGACGGGACGUACAUACCAAGAAUUCUGUUCAUUUCACCAAAAGGUAGUGUGGACCCCGAAAUAGUGAACGAGGAGGGCAGUAGUCAACACAAAUACUUCUACAGCAAACCAGAACAAAUUGCUAAAUCCAUGAGAAAAGUACUCGACAAAUAUACUGAGGAACAAUUCGAUGUAUGACGAGUUAAUUUGUAGAAAAUUGUAACAAGAGAUGAAAAUGUCAAAGUCUACAUUUAAAUGAUAUGCGGCGUUAAAUCGACAAUAUAUUUGGCAAACUGUGAUAAUGAUAUAAAUAUGAUGACACUGUAAUUUGUACUAAUAAAAAGCUGU